rnacentral:lncRNA from 1 species
ACGAAGAAUCAGGCAACGUCCUUCUGCCGCCGUAACCGCUGACAGAAUGAAGGUUUCCGCAAAGAGAAAGGA